GGUGGUCUCAUGCUGGGUUCUUUCUGCUCUUCUCCAGAAUGACUUUCCAACCAGGAUGUCCCUUGUGGUCUGAUGUUUGUUCGAGACAUCUCUCUGGAUGACGAGGAUCAGAAGUGGACAAUGGGGACAAGACACAAAUCCAAGCGCCAGCAGGCCCGGGACCUUCUCCGGCCACCACCUUGGAAGUCUCCUUAGCCGAACCAGGAUUCUUUCCAAGUCUGACAGGAGUGAGCUGGGGACGCCAAGCUCCAGGAAUGCCGCUGCCUCCAGCACGCAUUUCCGUGCCUCCUGGCUGUGCCGAGAGGCAGCAGAACUUAUUACUGCUACCAGAAGGCCUUCUGCUGACAACGGGAGAGCUUCCGGCUAAGUAUACGUGUUAUCCCAUCUCCUCCUCGUCACUACUCAGCAACUGCGGUUACACUGAAGUCAGAAGCUGUGAGCGAGCGCAUGACAGAAAUGACUUCAAUUUGUUGUCGGAACAACACGGAAGAGAGUAUAUAUCUGUUUGGAAAGCUAAGUGGGUUCCUUUUCCAUUCUGAGAACAUAAGCUGCUUUUUCUCUCUCUGCUGCACACGCCUGAGUCUUGGACAAGGGCUGGGGCCACACACAGCCCCACCUCCCUCCACAUGCCGACAGGCUUUUUGAUAAAUGCUUCAAGUCUGCACGUGCAGGAGAAGCGGGCGCGAAAGGAGAGGAUGCAGUAAUGGAGUGGAGAGAAAAGAAUGCAUGUUCUCGUACUUGGAAUAUGGGCCAUUUCCCUCCCGAACUCCACGUGAUCUCCCUGGGUUUGUACUGCCUUUGCCAUGCGUAGUUUCUGCCACAGCAGCUCUGCUGUUCCAGGCCCCGGAGACGUGCCCACGCACCUUGGCCUCACUGUGUGGCCACUCCAGACGCUUUGGGAGACAAGGGACGCUGCUUCCGGAGGAGCACUUCCUGUCCCCACCAUGGCCUAAACGACAGGUCUGCCUCCCAAUAGAUCACUCUGGGUUUUGUAAUUUGUGCAAAUUGAAAAAAAUGGCCGCACUUUCCUUCUCACCCAGAAGUGAAGUCUGCCUCUCCACCCUGGAAUCUGGCAUGGCCAGGUCAUGUGAUUGGGCUGGUGGCCCAGUAACGAACGUGACACAAGCGAGACGGGAAAUCCUUGGGCAUGGGACUGCCCUCUCUUGCUGUUCUUGGGACCUGGCAGUUACCACCAGGGGAAGGAGCCGGGCUGUCCCGCUGCAUGAUGGGAGAAAGGGCCCAGUUCCCCCUUCCCCUCUCUGAUUGCAGACAUGAGGGAGCCCAGCUAAGACCAGCAGAAGAACCGCCAGUGAGCGAGCCCACAUCGCUGACUCCUACUCAAGGCAUGAGACCUUGCUCUCUUUACAUGUUCAUCAUCUUCUUGCUUCACUGUCCAGCCCCAAAUCCCUGACUCCAUCCAACCUUGGGUGUCUCACAGUCUCCACUUUCUUUGACAGACUUUGGCCAAAGCCUUUCUCCCCAGGCUAUGGCAGGACUCAUGGUUGGGUCCAAUCCCUGGAGGGUGCUCGCCUGCCACACGGGUCCAUCCUGUAUCUGUGGUUCCCUGGACAGCUUCCUUCUUCAGCAUCUCCUCGGGCUUCUCCAGAGCCACCUGACUGGAGCUGGGCCUCAUUCUCAGAGGACCAUUCCAUUUGCAUCAGGUUUUGCCAAAACAGUCGUACGCGUGCAAUGAAACGAAGAAGUGGCUGGGUGCGGGCCAGUGGAUGGGUUGAUAUCAUUGCUUGGAGAACUGGGCUACCAAGGACUCUGCGGUGGCUCUGGCCUGUCCGAGAGGACCCAGGCGGACAGUUCAGCCCAGUGCUGGCACUUCCAAGGGCUGGAAGACAUGAGCCAUAACCCUGGUGCUGAGUUUUAGACGUGCUGCUGUCCCUAGCCUCCAAAAGCCUAGGUCUAGUCUGUCCAUUUGGGCCCUGCUUCAGAUGGAAAAGAUGAUUAAAACACCCUUUCUUAGUCACCAGCUUUGGAGUUGACUUGCUCAGGCAAUCUUGGAGAACAUCGGUAGCUGUGGGCGCUAUUAUCUCUUCAUCCGCACCCUGAAUCAGGCUUCUCGCCACCAAAGAGCCCCCCACGCCAGCCACAGAGCCCCCACACACUGCUGCUCCGAGCCGGGCACUCUGGCUUGGGUGACGGUGGAGGAGGCAGUGGGAAGGACUAAAAUUGGAAACCUGCAAGUCCAAGGACGACACAGGUGCAGGCAGUGACAGACAUGCAGUAACCGGGGCUGGGCCAGCUUGUCUGUAGAGUGACUGAGACGUCAAGGCCUCAGGGAAGAGAGAAGACAGUCGCUUCUGGGCACGUGGGCAGGAGGUGAGGCUGACGGACAAGGGAAGGCAGAGGUGCCAUCAGCGCCCAGGCUUCCUGGCCCGCCCUUGCUCCUGCUCUCCUGAGUCGUGUGUCCUCAGAGGAAGGGCUGGCCCAGCUUCCUUCCCGGGCUCCCUGGGGCACAAAGCCAGUCUGGUGUGAGACUGGUCUCUGUCCACUGGGACCUGGGGAAACAGGACAUGCCCAAGGAAGAACUGGGAGGUUCUGUGCACAUCAUGUGAAGCAGUGCUAUGGAUAAGUGACAGCAGACCCGGAGAUUAAAGUGUGUGCGUUUUUUAUUUAAAUGGGUAUAUUUUGAUAUUUUAGUUGUUUGUGUGUCCGUCCAUCUUAGUUCAUGAUAUUCUCAGUGAUGGGAAAAGCCAAUGUUAAUAAAGAAAGGUGAUCUGGGAGAGGGAGGGGGAGGCGGAGGGCCCAUGGGAUGAUGGGUGAGCUGCUGUGUUUGCCUGUGAGUCACAGUGAGUCGGGGACGUGCUGAGGGCACGUGGAUGCAGGUGGCAGAGUGUCCCCUGGUAGAUGAACUGCGUCUCUGGGCUGUGCAGAGACUCCUUAGGGAGCCGGGGACGUUUGUCACGGAGCUGACAGUGCAUGCCAGCUGUCCCGCCCACGCGUGCUCACCAGAGCCCUGUCCUGGCUGCUCCGGCUCCGUUCCACAGCCUCCAGUGCUGCCGGCCACCCUCCCGACACAAAGUCUCACAGAGAAGACGGGCGGCCACCCUCCCGACACAAAGUCUUACAGAGAAGACGGGCCUCAUCUCAGCCUCACUCUGCCCCUGGCACGGGGUGGGGAGGGGGCUGCCACUCACCCCCAGGCACUCCAUGCUCAAAACACUUCGCCACACCGUCAGUGCUACUCUUUGUCUCAAAGACUCACACGGCUCCUGGACUAGACUCAGGCCGCCUCUGCCGGAGGCCGCAGCCUCGGCUUUAGCGAUGGAGAAGUACACCGUCACCCGUUGGUGAAGUCACUCGCGGAAUCUGGUCUCCGGACGCCAAGCCUUAGGUCUUUUCUGCUGGAUCCGCGAUUCCCAAAACCGCCUGCCCACACAGAUGACUCGACGGCCGCAUGUGGGGGGGGGGGGGGGGAAAAACAGCAAAUCUACACGACCCAUCCUCCCAACCCAGGGUCCUGCCUGAACCUGACAGGAGUUGAAACUGACUUGGCUGUAGGGAUCCAGAUUGACCAACAUGGGGUCCAGGUGCUUCAAGGGCCUCGCUUUUCCUGCCAGGAUCCCCCUGUGACCUCCCGGGAAGCUGAUCAGUGAAGCUCAGAGUUGGGGGCUCUGGACAUCCGAGUGGGGCGAGGACACUCGUGAGCUGCUGCGAGCAGCCGCCUGAGCUCCCGCUGCCGGGGUGGCGAGAAGGGGGUUCUAAUAUUUGCCUGAUGCUCAGGGUGUUGGUGUUUACAGGCCACUUCCACAUGCCCUGUUUCAUGGGUCUGUGAGAGGCAGGGGGGAUGCUGGGGUCCCUCAAACAAAGGGAAAGAGGUUGAAAAGGAGCUUUAAAAACCCAGAGCCAGGCCCACGGACUGUCUGUCUAGGGUUCUUUCCAGUUCCUGCGACUCCUGAGGGCCUGGGGUCUGGCUGACCCUCCGUACCGCCCGCCGAGCACGGUGGCAGGAGUCCUGCACUCGAGGCCCACGGCCUGGCGCCGUGGAGGGAAGCCGUGAGCACAGACACGCUGCCCGUCCUCCCCGGGCACUGCCCAGCGACUGCUGAUGUGCCGGGGACUCGGCCUCGCCCCGUGCUGGGGGCGCCUGGAUAACUGUGUCACAGAUUUUAGAGUCCUCCUUGAGGAGGGAUUUCUGAGCCAAAGUACAGAUUUGAGACUCAGAUUUCCGGGCCUUGGGGGUGACCUGCUUAGGAUCUAACUGUCUGCCACUUCCCUCAUUUGGGAUUUUCAGUAGAACGAAGAGGGCAGAUAGCGAGGGAGGCAGCGCCGUUCCUCUGCGUCGUCUUGGUUGGCUGGUGGGGCUGGGCCUGCUCCCGGGAAGGCUGAACGAGAGGAGCCCCUCAGCGUGGCUUCCGGGAGCACCGCUGUGUGGGCGAAGGUGUACACGCUGCCCGAGAGCCUCCUGCAGGAGGAAGGAGAAGGGACGGAGGCUGAGGAAGGUGCUGCCCGCGUCACCUAUCUGUUCGUUUUUUGUGCCUCGUCUGUAGCAUCGAAACUGAACUGUCUGUCUGUCUGUUGCCCAGGACUUUUCAGUGUCAAAUAUACAAAGCGAAUUGCAUUGUAAUGUUUUAAACUGUGAAAUAAAGCAUUUUUCACCUC